GUCCACGCCGUAAACGAUGUCGACUAGCCGUUGGAGACCUUACAGUCUUUAGUGGCGCAGCUAACGCGAUAAGUCGACCGCCUGGGGAGUACGGCCGCAAGGUUAAAACUCAAAUGAAUUGACGGGGGCCCGCACAAGCGGUGGAGCAUGUGGUUUAAUUCGAUGCAACGCGAAGAACCUUACCAGGGCUAGAAAAACUAGGAAUCCUUAAGAGAUUAGGGAGUGCCCGCAAGGGAACCUAGGUCCAGGUGCUGCAUGGCUGUCGU
rnacentral:rRNA from 1 species